GACGAACGCUGGCGGCGUGCCUAAUACAUGCAAGUCGAACGCAGUGGGGACGGGUGAGUAACACGUGGGUAACCUCCCAUCAGAGGGGAUAACACUUGGAAACAGGUGCUAAACCGAUACUGAUGGAUGGACCCGCGGUGCAUUAGCUAGUUGGUGAGGUAACGGCUCACCAAGGCCACGAUGCAUAGCCGACGUGUGAGUGUGAUCGGCCACACGGGGACGGAGACACGGCCAAGACUCCGACGGGAGGCAGCAGUGGGGAAUUGUCGGAAAUGGAGGAAAGUCUGACCGAGCAACGCCGCGUGAUGGAAGAAGGUUUUCGGAUCGUAAAACUCUGUUGUUAGAGAAGCGGUAUCUAACCAGAAAGCCACGGCUAACGACGUGCCAGCCGCCGCGGUAAUAC
rnacentral:rRNA from 1 species